UACGGAGGAUGCGAGCGUUAUCUGGAUUUAUUGGGUUUAAAGGGUGCGUAGGCGGGCUUUUAAGUCAGCGGUAAAAAUUCGGGGCUCAACCCCGUCCGGCCGUUGAAACUGGGGGCCUUGAGUGGGCGAGAAGAAGGCGGAAUGCGUGGUGUAGCGGUGAAAUGCAUAGAUAUCGCGCAGAACCCCGAUUGCGAAGGCAGCCUUCCGGCGCCCUACUGACGCUGAGGCACGAAAGUGCGGGGAUCGAACAGG
rnacentral:rRNA from 1 species